rnacentral:rRNA from 1 species
GAUGAACGCUGGCGGUAUGCUUUACACAUGCAAGUCGAACGGGAGCUUUUAACUCUAGUGGCGGACGGGUGAGUAACACGUAAGAAUUUGCCUUUAGGAGGGGGACAACAGCUGGAAACGGCUGCUAAUACCCCAUAUGCUUUCGAGUGAAAUGGAUUUCCGACUGAAGAGAAGCUUGCGGCUGAUUAGCUUGUUGGUGAGGUAAUGGCUCACCAAGGCGACGAUCAGUAUCUGGUUUGAGAGGACGAUCAGACACACUGGAACUGAGACACGGUCCAGACUCCUACGGGAGGCAGCAGUGGGGAAUUUUCCGCAAUGGGCGAAAGCCUGACGGAGCAAUACCGCGUGAGGGAUGAAGGCCUAUGGGUUGUAAACCUCUUUUUUCAGGGAGGAACAAAAUGACGUGUACCUGAAGAAUAAGCAUCAGCUAACUCCGUGCCAGCAGCCGCGGUAAAAC